UGUUGUGUCUCAGUGUCUGUCAUUAGAGGUGACAAAUGCAAGAUUUAAUGUUCCUAAUUUUGAAGUUGUGUCUAAUAUUCCUUUGUGACAAAGAUACAAACUUUUAGUCAUAAUAUUUUUUUUUUUUUGGAAUUAUUUCAUUAUAUUUAAUGGCAAAUAAAGGUUAUUUUAUGUCUCACAAUUUCUCAGCUGAAGGUGAAGAUGAAUUGUAUCAAGAGUUAUGGAGAUUAUGUGCAGGUCCAUUAGUUGAUAUUCCAAAAAAUGAAGAAAGAGUUUAUUAUUUUCCACAAGGUCAUAUGGAACAAUUGGAGGCAUCAACAAACCGGGAGCUGAAUCAGAGAAUGCCAAUGUUCAAUCUGCAACCAAAGAUCCUUUGUCGCGUUCUUGACAUUCAACUUAUGGCUGAGCAAGAUACCGAUGAGGUUUAUGCGCAGAUUACGUUGUUGCCAGAAGCAGAUCAAGUUGAGCCGACUAAUCCAGACCCAUCCCCUCCUGAGCCUCCGAGGCCCAAAGUUCAUUUCUUCUACAAGGUUCUAACUGCAUCGGAUACGAGCACUCAUGGUGGAUUUUCCAUUUUCCGGAAACAUGCUAACGAAUGCUUACCUCCCCUGGACAUGACCCAACCGACUCCAGCACAGGAAUUGGUCGCCAAGGACCUUCAUGGUUUUGAGUGGCGCUUUAAACAUAUAUUUAGAGGUCAACCCCGGAGGCAUUUACUUACCACGGGGUGGAGUACCUUCGUUUCCUCAAAGAGAUUAGUUGCGGGGGAUUCUUUUGUAUUCUUGAGGAGUGAAAAAGGUGAAGUCCGAAUAGGAAUUAGACGACUUGUUUGCCAACCAUGUUCAAUUCCACAAUCAAUGAUUUCAAGUCAGAGCAUGCACCUAGGAGUGUUAGCUACUGCAUCUCACGCUGUUGCGACCCAGACCAUGCUUGUCGUUUAUUACAAACCGAGAACAAGUCAGUUUAUCGUAGGCUUAAACAAAUAUCUGGAGGCUGUCAAUCAUCGGUAUUCAGUUGGCAUGAGAUUCAAGAUGCAUUUUGAAGGGGAAGAGGUUCCUGAGAGCAGAUUUACAGGUACCAUAGUCGGAGUUGAAGAUAGUUCCUCGCAGUGGAAAGAUUCUCAAUGGCGAUCGUUGAAGGUUCAGUGGGAUGAGCCAGCAUCCGUUUCAAGACCUGAUAGAGUUUCUCCUUGGGAUAUCGAACCAUUUGUAGCGCCAGUCACUAGUUCUCUCGUUCAUCCAAUGUCAGUGAAGAAUAAAAGACAUCGACCACAUAACGAACCAAAAGUUUCAGGUGGAAACAAGCAUUCUUUGAAUAUGUUUUUUGAUGAGACAGAAGCUAAUAAAAUUGCUUCACCUCGGCCUGCUUUUACAAGCUUUGCAUCCUCACAAUUCGGAAAGCAGAACGAUGAGAGGAAAGGCGAUACAAUCAUAUCCUGUAGAUUGUUCGGUAUUGACUUGAAAAGUCCCUCACUCGGUUCUGCUAUUGAGAAUCGGACUCUAAAACCAGCCAACAACUCCGAUAACUCUGCUGAAGGGUGCUUUGGAAACACGACUUCUGCUGGUGAUUCACAAGACAACUCUGGCCUUUCAAAAGAUCAAAACCAUGAGCAUUUGCAUUUGCCUCCGAACGAGGUCCACGGCAAGCAGAUUUGUUCCACAAGAAGUCGCACCAAGGUUCACAUGCAAGGGGUAGCUGUGGGUCGUGCAGUCGAUUUAACUGUACUGAGCGGAUAUGAUGAGCUCGUAAAGGAACUCAAAGAGAUGUUCGAUAUCCAGGAAGAGCUCCAUGCACGAAAUAAGUGGGAGAUCGUUUUUACAGAUGAUGAAGGGGAUGUGAUGCUUAUGGGCGAUCAUCCUUGGCCAGAGUUCUGCAAUGUCGCGAAGAAGAUCUUCAUUUGUCCUAGUCAAGAUAAGAAAAGUUUCAGUGCGGAAACCAAAUCGCCAUCUUGUUUAGACAGUGAAACAACUACUUCAGCCUGAAACUUUGAAAGAGAAUAAAGGUUGCCACUUGCCUUCCUAAAUUGAAUCCUUUUCACUAAAAUCUCUCGUAAGCUACACUACGCGCUUGUUUGCUUCUCUCCAAAUAUGGAUAAUAUAUGACCCCUUGUCGACGCCUUGUUGACUUCCAACAGCGUUAGGUAAUGAAAAAAGCGCGGUGCCGGCAACGACAACGGCGACGGCGACAAACUGGUGGUGGAAUAAGUUAAUAGGCAUAAUGGAAGUGACAGAAAGGUGGCUGAAUAAGUUGAUAGACAUGGAGGAGGUGAUGUAUCAGGGAAUGAUUUUGGGGCCAAUGAUUGUUAUGUUGACUAGUUUCUAUUCAAUCAAUCUUGUUUCCGUCAUGUUUGCUGGUCACAUUGGCGAUCUUCAACUUGCUGCUGCGAAUCUUGCUCAUUCGUGGGCUGUGAUCACUGGUUUUUCUUUCAUGUUUGGAUUAAGUGCUGUAGUCGAGCCAUUAUGUCGACAAGCAUAUAGAACGAGAACGUACAGGAUGUUGCAGAUACAUUUGCAAAUAUCAUGCAUCAUAUUGUUCUUCUUUUCAAUUGCGAUCGCUCUUCUCUGGUGGUAUUCCGAUGCAAUUUUGGUUCAUGUAUUUCAUCAGGAUUAUGAUAUCGCUAAAGAAGCCGGGGUGUACUUGAAAUUUCUUAUACCUGGAUUGUUUGGAUAUGGUGUUUUGCAAAAUGUAAUGAGAUUUCUUAAGGCGCAGUCGAUUUUAGAUCCUAUGUUUGUGUUUUUGCUGGCGUCUUUAGUCAUACACAUUGCUAUCAUCGCGUAUGCUUUGGUUCAUUGGACAGGUCUUGGUUUUAAAGGAGCAUCAUUAGCAACAUCCAUUUCCAUUUGGAUUUCACUCCUCAUGUUUAGCCUAUACGUGUUCUUCUCGAAUAGUUUCAACCAUAUCACCUGGAAUUACGGUUUCUCAUUCGAGCCAUUUCAUCAUCUCGUUACAAACUUGAAAUUGGCUUUGCCUUCUGCUGCCAUGGCCUGGUAAGUAACAUGCUCAAGUUGAUGUACAUAUACUCAUUAUUGCGUUGUCAUUACUGUUCUUUCUUCUGUAUGUUAUGUACUGCUGUCAAUUUCGUUUUCUUUGUUGUUGUUACUGCUUUUAUUUCUGUAAUCUCUUUCUCGGACUCCUUUGAAAUGCUUUAUUUAAGCUGAGGGUUUAUCGGAAACAACCUCUCUAAGGUUGCGUACCCUCUACUCUCCCCUGACAGCACUUGUGAGAUUGUUGUUGUUGUUGUUGACGAUGUACAUAGAUAUAUACACAGUUUGGAGUGCUGCGGUUUUGAGAUUCUUGUGUUAUUGGCUGGCUUAAUGCCAAAUCCGGUAACAACUAUUUCCACAAUUGCGAUGAGUUUAAAUAUCCAAGCCAUCGCCCACAUGCUGUCUUCCGGUCUGAGUCUAGCUGUGAGCACCAGAGCUACAAACAAGAGCUGAAAAUCCCGGCGAAGUUAGACAUGUCGUGGCUGCUGCUGUCAAGUUAACUAUUCUUUUCGGUCUUGAUCUUUGUUUGGCUCUAUUGAAUCAUCAUGUUGGCUGGGCUGGCCUCUUCAGCAAUAACGCGGAGAUAAUUAAGAAAUUUGCGUCCAUGAUACCGCUUCUAUUAAUAUCCUUUAUAUUGGAUUUCUCUCAAGGAAUUUUAUCAGGGGUGGCUAGAGGAUGCGGGUGGCAGCGUGGUGCUACGUGCAUCAACUUGGCGACAUUGUAUUUCAUCGGCAUGCCAAUAGCAGGCCUCGUUGCUUUCAAGUUCAACCUAUACGCUCAGGGGUUAUGGAUCGGCUUGAUAUGUGGUCUAGCUAUUUGAGCUUCCGGCUUAUUGCUACUGACAUUAUCGCCGAGAUCAUGGAAACAGAUCGAGGGCUCAACAAAUGGCCAUCGACAAAGUGAACUUGAAGCUUGAUCUGCUCACUGGCGACCGGUAGCCAUCUCUUCUUCUUCUCCAUGUUGUCUUAGCUCAUUUUUCACGAGCAACAUUCAUUAUUCACGGAGCACUUUCUUAUAACAAAUUACACAUCGAUAACAGUAGGGGAGCAUUCUUUAUGUGUGGCUGAAGUUUCUUGUUCGUGGUGUUAAGUGAUGUCUAUGAUCUCGGACAUAUAGUUUUUAGUAUUAUUUUAUGGCUAUAGUAUUAUCUUGUGACUAGUGUUGUUAGUGUACUAGUUUAUAUGCAUUUAUGUUUUAUUGUUUGUUA